rnacentral:rRNA from 2 species
UUUUAUGGAGAGUUUGAUCCUGGCUCAGGAUGAACGCUGGCGGCGUGCCUAAUACAUGCAAGUCGAGCGAACGGACGAGAAGCUUGCUUCUCUGAUGUUAGCGGCGGACGGGUGAGUAACACGUGGAUAACCUACCUAUAAGACUGGGAUAACUUCGGGAAACCGGAGCUAAUACCGGAUAAUAUUUUGAACCGCAUGGUUCAAAAGUGAAAGACGGUCUUGCUGUCACUUAUAGAUGGAUCCGCGCUGCAUUAGCUAGUUGGUAAGGUAACGGCUUACCAAGGCAACGAUGCAUAGCCGACCUGAGAGGGUGAUCGGCCACACUGGAACUGAGACACGGUCCAGACUCCUACGGGAGGCAGCAGUAGGGAAUCUUCCGCAAUGGGCGAAAGCCUGACGGAGCAACGCCGCGUGAGUGAUGAAGGUCUUCGGAUCGUAAAACUCUGUUAUUAGGGAAGAACAUAUGUGUAAGUAACUGUGCACAUCUUGACGGUACCUAAUCAGAAAGCC